GAACGUACCCAGAAGUGGGGGAUAACGUAGCGAAAGUUACGCUAAUACCGCAUACGUUCUACGGAAGAAAGCGGGGGAUCUUCGGACCUCGUGCUUUUGGAGCGGCCGAUGUCUGAUUAGCUAGUUGGUGAGGUAAAGGCUCACCAAGGCGACGAUCAGUAGCUGGUCUGAGAGGACGACCAGCCACACUGGGACUGAGACACGGCCCAGACUCCUACGGGAGGCAGCAGUGGGGAAUUUUGGACAAUGGGCGCAAGCCUGAUCCAGCAAUGCCGCGUGAGUGAAGAAGGCCUUCGGGUUGUAAAGCUCUUUUGUCAGGGAAGAAACGGUCCGGGCUAAUAUCCUGGGCUAAUGACGGUACCUGAAGAAUAAGCACCGGCUAACUACGUGCCAGCAGCCGCGGUAAUACGUAGGGUGCGAGCGUUAAUCGGAAUUACUGGGCGUAAAGCGUGCGCAGGCGGUUUUGUAAGUCUGACGUGAAAUCCCCGGGCUUAACCUGGGAAUUGCGUUGGAGACUGCAAGGCUGGAGUCUGGCAGAGGGGGGUAGAAUUCCACGUGUAGCAGUGAAAUGCGUAGAGAUGUGGAGGAACACCGAUGGCGAAGGCA
rnacentral:rRNA from 1 species